GAUGAACGCUGGCGGCGUGCCUAAUACAUGCAAGUCGAGCGAACGGACGAGAAGCUUGCUUCUCUGAUGUUAGCGGCGGACGGGUGAGUAACACGUGGAUAACCUACCUAUAAGACUGGGAUAACUUCGGGAAACCGGAGCUAAUACCGGAUAAUAUUUUGAACCGCAUGGUUCAAAAGUGAAAGACGGUCUUGCUGUCACUUAUAGAUGGAUCCGCGCUGCAUUAGCUAGUUGGUAAGGUAACGGCUUACCAAGGCAACGAUGCAUAACCGACCUGAGAGGGUGAUCGGCCACACUGGAACUGAGACACGGUCCAGACUCCUACGGGAGGCAGCAGUAGGGAAUCUUCCGCAAUGGGCGAAAGCCUGACGGAGCAACGCCGCGUGAGUGAUGAAGGUCUUCGGAUCGUAAAACUCUGUUAUUAGGGAAGAACAUAUGUGUAAGUAACUAUGCACAUCUUGACGGUACCUAAUCAGAAAGCCACGGCUAACUACGUG
rnacentral:rRNA from 1 species